ensembl:lncRNA
CCUCCCGUCUGCUCAUGCUCUGCUCUGGGUUCCUCCCGUAAGAGCCUGUACGCCCCCAGAAGCCCCUCCUCUGCGGCUCCAGGCACCGUUGCCUCUCUGCCCAAUCACGUGGCCUGUUGCCCUCCAACCACUGCCCAGACCAACCAAUCAUCUGUCACCGCCAUGAUGGCCAGCACCAACCAAUCCAAUGCAGCGGAAACCACUAGCCCCUCCCCCACUCAGCCAAGCAUCAGUAAAAAGGGCAAGUCUCGGCCAAUUGAGAAAGAUGGGCGGAGCCGCAAUCGCCUGGGCCACACCUCCUCACCUCUCUUCCUCAACAAAGCAAAGAGACCCCUCCCACCAGAGGGGACAGGGGGCACGAGCAACCGUCUACCUGGGGCGCAGCCUCCCCGAAGACAACGCAGCACACACACACUGGGCGGAAACUUCUCACCCUCUCUCUCUCAGAUACACAUCCUGGAAACAGAACAACAAAUAACAGCACAGAACUGUCUGUUACCCAGCGACUGCAGGUCCGGGUUCUACAGCUACACUGUGGCGCUUCCGAGAAACACAACAGACACACACGUUACCUUUCAUUUCAGUUCUGAGGACGGCGUGUGGAUUCGGCAGUGUGGCGUGACCCUCGGCCACCUCUGCCCGGAGCAAACACAGGCGCGCAGCGCUGAGGAAAUCCGGUCGCUGAUACAGGGCACAGACGGCCUGUGGUCACUUCCUGCCGUCGCCUUUCAGGACGUCACUUAUCACUUCCGCGUCUCUCUGUCCAACGUGGUGAACUGCAGCGAUGAGGAGAAGGAGAUGAAGGAAAAUGAGGCGUCUUCCCCGUACUCCGAUUACCACUUCCUCAUUCUCAGCCGAUGCACUUGAGAGUCCGUCCGUCUGUCUCACUCCGACCCUGUCACUGUAUCCACGCCGAAUGGGACACUGUUUGUUUUAGGGUGACAGUAUAUUUUUGUAGAAGGGAUAGGUUUCAUAAAUCCUGUGCGGUUCUUCUGGAAUGAAUUUGUGUGUGUGUGUGUGUGUGUGUGUGCGCGCGCAUCACUGCACUCCCCGUCUCACCUCUUAACUGUGUGAUCUUGAUCUGUAAAACACACCAUGUUUUAUAUCUUCACAUGAUUCGCUCUCUGGGUUGUUUUGUACUGAUAAUGUAACUGCAUAUUACUCCUUCUGACCCUGACCUCAGUGUGUGUGUGUUGCCAUGGUGAAUUUACCGGGUUACUUCCGAAAAACGGGGGGUGUGUGGGUGGCAGCCAUUAUUUGGAAAAAGUCGCAUACAUGAACAAAAAAAUGACUGGAAUCAGGUAAAGCCGAUCAUCUCUCACCGUCAUCGGAGCAGAGAAGACUGGAAGGGCUGGUACACUGGAUCGCCGUAAUCUCUGACUGGUCCGACACUGAUGUCUCAUGAACACUGGAGUUCCCUACACUGGAAUCUGGGAGCACGGCCACCGUCCUGCACACAGCAUGUACACUGUAUCAUGUCAUAACGUUUUUUAAUGUGUGUUGUGUAAUGUAAUCACUGUAUGUUAACCUGAUGUGAAAAGCCGUAAUGAUGAACAGAGGGUGGAAACUUUGUCACUGGAAGAGGCAGACAGACUUUUUUUUUUUUUUUUUUUUCGUGGCUAAACUAUGGACUUCUUCAUGCCACGUGAGCAUCUACUUAAGGUGACAGCACGCAUCGACAGAUCCUGAACUUUCUGAGAGAUGUUUCUGCAGCGUGACAAGCCAUAGUGGAUGAGUUUUGCAUAAAUAAUGACCUGAAUGUCACGUAUUGGACCCACAUGAACAAAUGUAUUAAAAUCUGAUUUUACAUAAAAUGAAAGAUGUUUGUCCCAGGUUUCGGGUGAUUUGAGCCCAGGGGAAAUCUGACAUUCUAUGGUUCUCAUUGACCAGGACUGUGAAGCCAUUAUAAAGCGUACCAGCUUAAAAAGCAUUAUAGCACUUCCUGUUCAUGCACUGUAUAUAUGAAAACACCUUUCCUUUCUAUAGCAUUUCUAACUGGUUACAAACACACGAGUGAGAAUUUUUUUUUUUUAUCAUCUCAGUUAAUACUUGUAAAUCAAUCCUUUUCAUGUUUAAUAUUUACUGUUGUUAUUAAUAUGCAGUACAUUUCUUAUGAUGUCAUUUACAUUUAACCAUUUUGUUUGAUCAUUAUCAAAAGUAAAACUUUUUUAAAUGGCAUUACUGAAAUAAUCCAGAUGUGACAGGUAUAAAGAAAACAACUGCUCUAAUCUUUAGCAGUGUUCCUAUUAAUGUCUCAGUAUAUCAUAAAUUCUUAAAUGUUUCAGACAACUAUAAUAUUGAAUUUAAUUAUCCCUUACAGCAAAGUCUGUAUCACCUCCUACCAUUUGUUUUUUUUAUGACAUUAGACUAGUCGUUUUGUUUUUUAUAUCGCCAGCUGAAUUACGAUCAUUUUAUUUCAGAGCACUUCUUCUUUUUCAUUUUGUGAAAAGCAUGUACUGACAUCAUAAUAUGAAUGCAUGCAGGAAUGGCGAGUAAAUUAAAUUGUAAUUUUGAACACUAC